rnacentral:rRNA from 1 species
AUUGAACGCUGGCGGCAGGCCUAACACAUGCAAGUCGAGCGGAGAGGCGGACGGGUGAGUAAUGCCUAGGAAUCUGCCUGGUAGUGGGGGAUAACGUUCGGAAACGGGCGCUAAUACCGCAUACUAUCAGAUGAGCCUAGGUCGGAUUAUCUUGGUGGUGGGGUAACGGCUCACCAAGGCGACGAGCCCUAGCUGGUCUGAGAGGAUGACCAGUCACACUGGAACUGAGACACGGCCCAGACUCCUACGGGAGGCAGCAGUGGGGAAUAUUGCACAAUGGGCGCAAGCCUGAGACAGCCAUGCCGCGUGUAUGAAGAAGGCCUUCGGGUUGUAAAGUACUUUCAGCGGGGAGGCGUUACCCGCAGAAGAAGCACCGGCUAACUCCGUGCCAGCAGCCGCGGUAAUAC